GACGAACGCUGGCGGCGUGCUUAACACAUGCAAGUCGAACGGAAAGGCCCUGCUUUUGUGGGGUGCUCGAGUGGCGAAAGGGUGAGUAACACGUGAGUAACCUGCCCUUUACUUUGGGAUAACUUCAGGAAACUGGGGCUAAUACCGGAUAGGAGCUCCUGCUGCAUGGUGUGGGUUGGAGAGUGUCGGCGUUUGGGGAUGGACUCGUGGCUUAUCAGCUUGUUGGUGAGGUAGUGGGUUACCAAGGCUUCGACGGGUAGCCGGACUGAGAGGGUGACCGGCCACAAUGGGACUGGGGUACGGGCCAGACUGCUACGGGAGGCAGCAGUGGGGAAUAGUGCACAAUGGGCGGAAGCCUGAUGCAGCAACGUCGCGUGCGGGAUGACGGCCUUCGGGGUGUAAACCGCUUUCGCCUGUGACGAAGCGUGAGUGACGGUAAUGGGUAAAGAAGCACCGGCUAACUACGUG
rnacentral:rRNA from 1 species